CCCAGGCCCGUCUACCACUGUUGAGGAUCGACCGACCUGAGAUUUUUAUAGUGGGCGCCGACUGAGUUAUGGCUCCACAUCACAUGCGCAUGCUUCAUGCGAUGCAGCGACAGAUGACUACAUUCAGGAUCUAGAGACGAUGAUGCCUUCUACUGGAGCUGACAGCACCACCGAUACAUGUCAUCCUGCGCCGCAUCCAGCUAUAAGGAGACGACUUGAUGAUGAUGAUCCUGAUAGCGUACCCGGGCGGGAGGGGAUGCACCUCAGGCCAGCGGCUGCAUUGAGACACACCGGAUGCGGGACACAUUG